UGCAAGUCGAAGGUAACAGGUCUUCGGAUGCUGACGAGUGGCGAACGGGUGAGUAAUACAUCGGAACGUGCCCAAGAGUGGGGGAUAACGAGGCGAAAGCUUUGCUAAUACCGCAUACGAUCUCAGGAUGAAAGCAGGGGACCGCAAGGCCUUGUGCUCCUGGAGCGGCCGAUGGCAGAUUAGGUAGUUGGUGGGAUAAAAGCUUACCAAGCCGACGAUCUGUAGCUGGUCUGAGAGGACGACCAGCCACACUGGGACUGAGACACGGCCCAGACUCCUACGGGAGGCAGCAGUGGGGAAUUUUGGACAAUGGGCGCAAGCCUGAUCCAGCAAUGCCGCGUGCAGGAUGAAGGCCUUCGGGUUGUAAACUGCUUUUGUACGGAACGAAAAGGCUCUGGUUAAUACCUGGGGCUCAUGACGGUACCGUAAGAAUAAGCACCGGCUAACUACGUGCCAGCAGCCGCGGUAAUACGUAGGGUGCGAGCGUUAAUCGGAAUUACUGGGCGUAAAGCGUGCGCAGGCGGUUAUGUAA
rnacentral:rRNA from 1 species